rnacentral:rRNA from 1 species
UAUCUCUGUAGAGUCUGCAUAUCAAUAAGCGGAGGAAAAGAAACUAACUAAGGAUUCCCUCAGUAACGGCGAGUGAAGCGGGAAGAGCUCAAAUUUGAAAUCUUCAAGGUUUUACCUUGACGAAUUGUAGUUUAAAGAAGUGUUUUCUGUUGGAGUUUUGGUAAAAGUUCUUUGGAAUAGGACAUCAUAGAGGGUGAGAAUCCCGUAUUUGACCAUUAUUUCCAGCUUCGUGAUACACUUUCAAAGAGUCGGAUUGUUUGGGAAUCGCAGUCCAAAAUGGGUGGUAAAUUUCAUCUAAAGCUAAAUAUUGGCGAGAGGACCGAUAGCGAACAAGUACCGUGAGGGAAAGGAUGAAAAGAACUUUGAAAAGAGAGUUAAACAGUACGUGAAAUUGUCAAAAGGGAAGCGUUUGACACCAGUGUUGUUUCUACGAAAAUCAAUUUAUGAUGGCUUGAUGCUAAGCUUUAAGACUUUAUCCGCUUGUUGUUUAGUUUUCUUGUCUUUGUGAAUGCACUUUUCGUGGAACAAGUCAACAUCAAUUUCUUUUGCUGUAAAAGGGUAAGAGGAAGGUGGCUUCGGCUUCGGUUGAAGUGUUUAUAGCCUUUUAUCUCUGCAGUCGGAGAGAUUGAGGUCUGCAGCGUAGACUCUUCGGGGUUAGAUACGUCGGUGCUAAGCUAUAGCUUUUCAUAGACAACUUGUUGACUAUGUUUAGUCAUGUGGCUUACCCGCUGGCGCUAUUUUACCUACGCUUAGGAUGUUGAGUCAUCACACAUCUCU